rnacentral:snoRNA from 1 species
AUUCCAUAAUGGGGAUAUUCUAGGAUGUAGUCUUGGAAGCGCUCCCAUGCUUCUGGAACAGAUUCAUCAUGUUGUUGCUGAAAACUUGUAAUCUUCCCACGGAGAGC